UGGGUUUUUCUCAAACAUCUGUGUUUUUAU
rnacentral:piRNA from 1 species